rnacentral:rRNA from 1 species
GACGAACGCUGGCGGCGUGCCUAAUACAUGCAAGUCGAGCGGAAUGAUGAAGAAGCUUGCUUCUUCUGAUUUUAGCGGCGGACGGGUGAGUAACACGUGGGCAACCUACCUUGUAGAUUGGGAUAACUCCGGGAAACCGGGGCUAAUACCGAAUAAUCCAUUUUGCUUCAUGGCGAGAUGUUGAAAGACGGUUUCGGCUGUCACUACAAGAUGGGCCCGCGGCGCAUUAGCUAGUUGGUAGGGUAAUGGCCUACCAAGGCGACGAUGCGUAGCCGACCUGAGAGGGUGAUCGGCCACACUGGGACUGAGACACGGCCCAGACUCCUACGGGAGGCAGCAGUAGGGAAUCUUCCACAAUGGACGAAAGUCUGAUGGAGCAACGCCGCGUGAGUGAAGAAGGUUUUCGGAUCGUAAAACUCUGUUGUAAGGGAAGAACCCGUACGAGAGUAACUGCUCGUACCUUGACGGUACCUUAUUAGAAAGCCACGGCUAACUACGUG